rnacentral:tRNA from 1 species
GAGGGUAUGGCUCAAGGGGUAGAGUGCUUGCUUCACAUGCAUGAGGUCCUGGGUUCAAUCCCCAGAAACUUCU